CAUCGCGCUGCAGUUGCUGCGCCGCGCUCAGUACUUGGCUCUCGGCGUAAAGUGUUGUGCCCGCAUGAUCGAGGUAGGUGCUCUCUGAGAAUCUAGAAAACUCUUUGUCAAUGAGCGCCUGCUCUUCAGCUGUAAACUCGGCUGUGUACUCGACCAUUAUUGCGCACUCGACUGCAGCUCCAGCGUUAUUUAUGGCUGCAAUUCGAGAGUUGGAGCAGCAACCGGUAAUUAUAGAGAUGUUACUCGAUAGCUAUAUUU